AUCCAGCUGACGAGUCCCAAACAGUAUGAAACGCUCAUCCUGGAU
rnacentral:hammerhead_ribozyme from 1 species